AGUGUAUGAAGUACGUAGAGUGUCGGCAAGCUCUAUAUAUGGACACUUACGAAGGGUUUUGGUUGUUUUGUAUCUCAAGCCGACUUUGAGUAUUUGAGGAAAAUACGACAGAAAAAACAAACC
rnacentral:ncRNA from 1 species